rnacentral:rRNA from 4 species
UGACCUCAAAUCAGGUAAGAAUACC